AGCAAAAAUGCGGGCCCGGCGGAGGAAAGGCCAGGAGAAGAGGAACAGCGGACCCUCGAGGUCUCGGAGCAGAUCCAAGAGUCGAGGGCGUUCUUCCUCCCGCUCCAACUCAAGAUCCUCCAAGUCUUCAGGCUCGUACUCAAGGUCAAGGUCGCGCUCCUGCUCCCGUUCCUACUCCCGCUCCAGAUCUAGAAGUCGGAGCAGGUCGCGCUCCUCCAGAAGCCGCUCCCGGUCCCAGUCGCGGUCCCGGUCCAAGUCGUACUCCCCAGGAAGAAGACGCCGGUCACGGUCCAGGAGCCCCACCCCGCCGUAAGAUCCUGUCUUAAGUGCUGCGCUGGUAACUCUGGGAAGCUGCGGUGCUUUGCUGUGAAUGUGGAAACAUUGGUGGUUAGGAGACUGUGUUAGGAGGCCGCCAGCAUUAGCCCGGGGACAGUGGCACCCCUCACCCUUCACCACAGUAGCCACUUGGCGAAGCCUGAGGCAGUAACUGGGGUCUGCUUUCUAACCACCAUCUGGGUUGGAGGUGUCCUGCUCUCAAUGCUGAGCGUGGGGUG
rnacentral:lncRNA from 1 species